UUUAGAUGUGUUGCUCUUUCCAUGUGAAUCUGAUUUUCUUCUAACAUCUUUCUUACUGUAGAUACGGUGUUAAGAAGCUUGAAAUCAUGGCAAAUUCUGUCACGAUCUUAUCGAAUGCAGGUCUUAGGAUGACCAUGUUUAGUCUCGGACUGUUCAUGGCCUUGUAGCCAAGAAUCAUAGCCUGUGGGACUAAAAUCACCGCAUACGGAUUGGUUGCGAGGUUCCUCGCUGGCCCAGCUUGCAUGGUGAUCGCAUCUGUUGGGGUUGGCCUCAGAGGCACAAUCCUCAGAGUGUCCAUUGUUCAAUAAGCUUUCGGAUUAAAGUGAAGCUGAGAGUAGGGUAUUAGUUGAUAACAAAUUGAUAACCAGUAGAUGCACAUCCAUGGAGUUUUCACUUGCGAUUGUUAAGAAGCUAUUUGGCUGCGAGAAGGCAUUAGAUCUUGAUGUUAAUGAGAACUUCAAAUAGACAUAUAACUAUUAUUUGGGCAUUGUACUUUUG